GUGAGGAAUAUUGGUCAAUGGGCGGGAGCCUGAACCAGCCAAGUCGCGUGAAGGAAGAAGGAUCUAUGGUUCGUAAACUUCUUUUGCAGGGGAAUAAAGUGCAGGACGUGUCCUGUUUUGUAUGUACCCUGAGAAUAAGGAUCGGCUAACUCCGUGUCAGCAGCCGCGGUAAUACGGAGGAUCCGAGCGUUAUCCGGAUUUAUUGGGUUUAAAGGGUGCGUAGGUGGUUUGAUAAGUCAGCGGUGAAAGUUUGCAGCUUAACUGUAAAAAUGCCGUUGAAACUGUCGGACUUGAGUGUAAAUGAGGUAGGCGGAAUGCGUGGUGUAGCGGUGAAAUGCAUAGAUAUCACGCAGAACUCCGAUUGCGAAGGCAGCUUACUAAGCUACAACUGACACUGAAGCACGAAAGCGUGGGGAUCAAACAGGAUUAGAAACCCCGGUAGUCC
rnacentral:rRNA from 1 species